GUCGAGAAUUUUUCUCAAUGGGGGAAACCCUGAAGGAGCGACGCCGCGUGGAGGAUGAAGGUCUUCGGAUUGUAAACUCCUGUCAUUGGGGAACAAGUCGCUUACGUUAACUGCGUGAGCGUUGAUAGUACCCGAAGAGGAAGAGACGGCUAACUCUGUGCCAGCAGCCGCGGUAAUACAGAGGUCUCAAGCGUUGUUCGGAUUCAUUGGGCGUAAAGGGUGCGUAGGCGGCGCGGUAAGUCGGGUGUGAAAUCUUGGAGCUUAACUCCGAAACUGCAUUCGAUACUGCCGUGCUUGAGGACUGGAGAGGAGACUGGAAUUUACGGUGUAGCGGUGAAAUGCGUAGAUAUCGUAAGGAAGACCAGUGGCGAAGGCGGGUCUCUGGACAGUUCCUGACGCUGAGGCACGAAGGUCAGGGGAGCAAAC
rnacentral:rRNA from 1 species